UGCCUAAUAAGCUGACGCUCUCUUGACAGCUCGAUUGCGUGCUGCCUCUGCUCCUGCAUAAAUCAUAGGGCCCUGCCAGAGAACGAGGGGCAGAGUUUUGCUAUCUCAACACUGAAUCUCACAUCCAAUUAUAUCAACAGAUAUUUAUCGCCUCCUUGGUGACGUCAACGAGCCCUAAAAUGGAAGGGCUUCUUAUGACUUGUCCAUUGACAAAAAUUCUUGAAUGAGAUUUCCCAAGUAUGAAAACAUACUGACCUCUUACUAUGAAAGGUGAAAUUUAGGGUCAGAAAAGAGACAUCGAAUGAGAGGGGAAGGGAAGAGUAUGGGACAGGAGGUCUAUCAAUGCAGAGUCCUGUGGGGAAAGCAGCAAGCAGUUACAGGGGAUCUGGAUCCCGCUUUUUUCUCUCCCCCUGACUUCUCUGACCAGUUGUCUCUGGAAACACCUCAGCAUCUAAACAUAUCCUUUUGCUAGAGACAAACUGUCCCAUCACCUUUCUGCCUGGUUAAGGAUGAUGAACAAGGAGAUGGAAGUGCAGGGACAUCCAGCUUUUAAGCUUCUACCUGCGUUUUCUUCCCAAGAGUAAAUAAAGGAAUUGUGAGUUUGCAGAACCAAGACCAAUAAGUCUCUUGAAACAAGACUCAAGUCUUUUAAAUGAUUGGCAGGAGCUGCUUCCAUGAUGAAGGGGCCCAAGCCAGGGUCAGUUGGGGAUGCAGCAAGAUUUUAAAUUCCCCCAGAACCUCACUGCUCCUCCUUUGUCUCUGUCAGAAUCCAAAAUUAAUUGUUGAUUUUUCUGUUCCCAAAUUAGAGAAAGGACAAGCCAAAGGUGCAUGAGUUACACAAUCUUCAUUUGGUCUACUUGAUGAAAACCCAAUGAGAGAAGAAUCCAUUCUAACUUCCUGUUCUAUAUUGGGAGAGGCGUAAACUGCCUGAUAACAAGGCUGAAUUCAUCAUUUGCAUAUUUUCACUGAUGAAUACUGAGUCUGUAAAAAGGCUCCGGAUAAUGGAUGGAGGGCAGUGAGAAGAUGUGUGUGAACUUUCUGUCACGAAGGGCAAUUUGCAGGAACUAAUCAUCUUACAAUGGUUGGUCAUAAGAAAGAAAUCCAUCAACCAAGCAUCCUGCAUAGCCCCCAUACUACAUGCUGGAGAGAAAAAUGGACAAGUAAAAUCCCCACUGCCCUUGAAGUAGUCACUGCUCAUCAAGGAAGACGUGUUAACAACAAUUAUGAAGGAAGACCCUAAAGCAAGUUUCAACCUGAGCCCAUAGGAAGACUGACAGAUGUCUAUCUACCCACCGUUACGGACUGAAAAGUAUCCUCCCCCAAAUUCAUAUGUUGAAGUCCUAAUUCCCAGUACGUCAGAAUGUGAAUGUAUUUGGAGAUGGGGCCCUAAAAAAGAGGUAAUUAAUUUAAAAUGAGACCAUUAGGGUGGGUCCUAAUCCAAUAGGCCAGUAUUUAUAAGAAGAGGAAGGAACACCAGAGAUACACGCACUCAGAAGAAAGGCUAUGAGAGGACACAGUGAGAAGAUGACCUUAUGCUGGCCAAAGAGUAAGGCUUCAGGAGAAACCAAAACCUGCCAACGCCAUUAUCUUGGACUUGCAGGCUCUAAAACUGUAAAUAAAUACAUUUCUGCUGUUUAAGCCACAUGGUCCAUGGUAUUUUGUUAUGACAGCCCUAGCAAACUAAUAUACCCAUUAUGUAAGUAACAAGAGGAUUCUUUUCCAAAGCAAUGGAAUGCCCACAGAGAAAAGACCUCAAACCUGAGAAUUAUGGGUCCCCAGGAUUAUUGUCCACUUCUGCACAUCACGUUAAAGGCAACUGCCAACCUGAAAGCAUUGAC